rnacentral:rRNA from 1 species
UACAGAGGGGGCAAGCGUUGUUCGGAAUUACUGGGCGUAAAGGGCUCGUAGGCGGCCAACUAAGUCAGACGUGAAAUCCCUCGGCUCAACCGGGGAACUGCGUCUGAUACUGGAUGGCUUGAAUCCGGGAGAGGGAUGCGGAAUUCCAGGUGUAGCGGUGAAAUGCGUAGAUAUCUGGAGGAACACCGGUGGCGAAGGCGGCAUCCUGGACCGGUAUUGACGCUGAGGAGCGAAAGCCAGGGGAGCAAACGGG